CAGAACCCCAUUAAAAACCUCUCUCUUCUCUUCUAUUUCCUCCCGAAAAUUCUUGAGAUAUAUAUGCACUUCUCUUAUGGCUGCUUUCUGUUGAACCCUUCGUUUUUAUCAGUUUAUAGUUAUUCUUGGCUUGUUUACUCUUAAUUUGCAUGAUCUCAUAUUUCUCUGUUGAUUUAGAUCGAUAUAUGAGUAACACAAUGAGGCCAAGAACAAAGGUCAUGGUUCACUUAGUUUAUGAUAGGGGAUGAGUGAUUCAAAUUAAACCCAAUUAAAUCCCCAAAUCAUUCUUUUCUUUUCUCUUUGGUUGUUGUGUGUGAUUUUUGAGCUCAACAUCCAUUUCUUGCAUAUAGAUAUAUAUAUAUAUAAUUUUUCGUGAUUUUUUUUUUAUUAUUUUCCAAACAUUAAUCAUAUAUAGUGAAUGGAAGUGAUUAAGGG
rnacentral:misc_RNA from 1 species